UUUACCUACCAAACCACCAUAGUAUCCAUCUCCCGCCAUUAUAUUUCAUCAUGUCGGAUCUGGUCUGUGCAUAAACAAAAUCACGUGAACCAAUCACGUGUCUUGCACUUAUCACCAGUCUGUAUUUUCGUUAUCAUUCCACGAUGAAGAAUAAGUCCAUUAUUCAACGAGUGGAGUACAGCACUUCCUCUUAUUGCGUUUUUGGUGUCAUUUUAAAUUAUUUGAAUCCAGAUUUGCAGAAUCCCAAAUAAUAUUUAUUGAGAUAUGAAUGAACCCUUUUUCUCACAUUGAUCAGAACUUUGUAAAUGAAAGAAAGAAGCCGACGAAGAUGACACUUCAUGAGGAUUACUUCGUCAUCUGCAUUGUUGCUGUAACGUAACCGUGGAUAUGUUUCUAAACAAUCUGCACUUCUGCAGCUUGAAUUCAAGAUCGAAAUAAAGGAAUCGAAAUCAAUAUAAGAAGGUGUAAUUAAUCGAACAGGUAACACAAUCAAUUGAAUGAAUAGAUACAUAUACAUAUGUAAGUAUACUCUAAGCAAAGCAGGUAUAGUUAAGCUAUAAAUUAGAUGAGAAAAGAUCCAUAUAAAAGUAUCUUAGAUUAGGUACGAAAAAAAAGUGGUAGCUAGGUAAAUUGGAACAGAAAUGAACACGAGAAAUUAUAAAAAAGAAAUUUGGCUGAUUUGAAACUUUCCUCUAAAAAUAGCUAUGUACGUGCAAAGACCACACGUGGAAUUUUGAUUCGUACUAAUUAUCAUAAUAACGAAGGUCUCAUAUCAUAUUGAAAUAAUUUCAACUUUUUUUCAGCUGUGAACGAUGGGACAUAUUUCUAUAUCCAUAAUUAGCCCAUAAAUAAUCGAUUACAGUUGGUGAAGAUGAUGGAAAACUACCUCUAAUAUACCGACUUUGC